rnacentral:rRNA from 1 species
GAUGAACGCUGACAGAAUGCUUAACACAUGCAAGUCAACUUGAACUUCGGUUUGGGUGGCGGACGGGUGAGUAACGCGUAAAGAACUUGCCUCACAGAUAGGGACAACAUUUGGAAACGAAUGCUAAUACCUGAUAUUAUGAUUUUAGGGCAUCCUAGGAUUAUGAAAGCUAUAUGCGCUGUGAGAGAGCUUUGCGUCCCAUUAGCUAGUUGGAGAGGUAACGGCUCACCAAGGCGAUGAUGGGUAGCCGGCCUGAGAGGGUGAUCGGCCACAAGGGGACUGAGACACGGCCCUUACUCCUACGGGAGGAAGCAGUGGGGAAUAUUGGACAAUGGACCAAGAGUCUGAUCCAGCAAUUCUGUGUGCACGAUGAAGUUUUUCGGAAUGUAAAGUGCUUUCAGUUGGGAAGAAAAAAAUGACGGUACCAACAGAAGAAGUGACGGCUAAAUACGUG